rnacentral:rRNA from 1 species
AGUGAACGCUGGCGGUAGGCCUAACACAUGCAAGUCGAACGGCAGCACAGUAAGAGCUUGCUCUUACGGGUGGCGAGUGGCGGACGGGUGAGGAAUACAUCGGAAUCUACUUUUUCGUGGGGGAUAACGUAGGGAAACUUACGCUAAUACCGCAUACGACCUACGGGUGAAAGCAGGGGAUCUUCGGACCUUGCGCGAUUGAAUGAGCCGAUGUCGGAUUAGCUAGUUGGCGAGGUAAAGGCCCACCAAGGCGACGAUCCGUAGCUGGUCUGAGAGGAUGAGCAGCCACACUGGAACUGAGACACGGUCCAGACUCCUACGGGAGGCAGCAGUGGGGAAUAUUGGACGAUGGGCGCAAGCCUGAUCCAGCCAUACCGCGUGGGUGAAGAAGGCCUUCGGGUUGUAAAGCCCUUUUGUUGGGAAAGAAAAGCAGCAGGUUAAUACCCCGCUGUUCUGACGGUACCCAAAGAAUAAGCACCGGCUAACUUCGUG